rnacentral:rRNA from 1 species
AUUGAACGCUGGCGGCAUGCUUUACACAUGCAAGUCGAACGGUAACAGGUUAAGCUGACGAGUGGCGAACGGGUGAGUAAUGCAUCGGAACGUGCCCGGUCGUGGGGGAUAACACUUCGAAAGAAGUGCUAAUACCGCAUACGAUCUGAGGAUGAAAGCGGGGGACCGUAAGGCCUCGCUCGAUCGGAGCGGCCCAUGUCAGAUUAGGUAGUUGGUGGGGUAAAGGCUCACCAAGCCGACGAUCUGUAGCUGGUCUGAGAGGACGACCAGCCACACUGGGACUGAGACACGGCCCAGACUCCUACGGGAGGCAGCAGUGGGGAAUUUUGGACAAUGGGCGCAAGCCUGAUCCAGCAAUGCCGCGUGCAGGAAGAAGGCCUUCGGGUUGUAAACUGCUUUUGUACGGAGCGAAAAGGCUCUCUCUAAUACAGGGGGCUCAUGACGGUACCGUAAGAAUAAGCACCGGCUAACUACGUGCCAGCCGCCGCAGUAA